UACGUAGGGUGCAAGCGUUAAUCGGAAUUACUGGGCGUAAAGCGUGCGCAGGCGGUUUUGUAAGACAGGUGUGAAAUCCCAGGGCUUAACCUUGGAACUGCAUUUGUGACUGCAUAGCUAGAGUACGGUAGAGGGGGAUGGAAUUCCGCGUGUAGCAGUGAAAUGCGUAGAGAUGUGGAGGAAUACCGAUGGCGAAGGCAGCCCCCUGGGAUAACACUGACGCUCAUGCACGAAAGCGUGGGGAGCAAACAGG
rnacentral:rRNA from 1 species